AUAUCGAACGGAAAAGUUAUGAUUUGAUGUCUUUUUUUUUUUUUGUUGCUAUCAACCGUACCGAGACCUGCCCUUUUGACGGGGGAAGAAAGCUCAGCUGCCACGCCUGGUCCUGGCUUUUUAAUGCGGGCGAGAGCGAAAGGAGAGAGUGCCAUUUUCACCUUGCCUUGUCCUCUCUACCCUCCGAUCUCCCUACUCCUGCCUCCUGAAACAAGCGCCAUCGCUCGUGAAAGGAAAAACCCUAUUUUUUCCACCUCUCUUCCCUCCCUUCCCUCCCUUCCUUCACCCCGUUUCCCCGUCGCUUUCGCUCCAGAAAGAACCCCGAAACAAGAAUGCAAACCAUGGUGAAUCUCAACAGCUCCUUGGGCCUCCCUCUCUGCGUUUCCGGGAUCACCCGGGCCGCCCUCUCUCUCUCCCAAGAGAUGGUGGAUCACGAUCGCCGGAGGAGGGCGAUGAAGAGGAUGCGGUCGCGGCCCAGCCGGGGAUCGGGCGAGCCGGCCGGAGAUCUCGCCGAUCUACUGAGCGAGCUGGCUUUCGACAGCAGCAGCAGCAGCUUCGGCCCCUGUACAGCAAAAGCCGCUUAGGUCUCGAGAUUUCGCUACCCCCCACCAUUCCAUUUCGUGGGUUCGCCACAGCCAGUGCGAUCCCUGAUCUCUUCUUCAUCUCCUUCCUCCUUCCUCCUCUCCUCGUCUUCUUCUUCUUCUUUUACUUCCUUCGUUUCCAAUUUUUAGGGGCCCUGUAAAUCGCGCCAUACAUGAGAUUAAGGGGUGUUGCAAAGUGCAUUCUGGGUCGAAAUCUGUGUUGGGUUUUUUCUUCUUCGAUCCUGAGGAAUGUUUGUUGGUGGUCUUUCGUUGGUUUGUUCAUUCGUUUUGGUUGGGAGCUUUUGUCGUGUCUGAUAAUGUUGUCGAUAUUUAAGGAGAUAAGUGUACAAAACUUGAUUCGCUAAAAGGGAGUGCAGCAAGCAACCAUCAUGUAUGGCUCGAAACCCGAUGUAACAUUUUUUUUUAAUAUUAUUCCACGCAUUCCCAAUUAUUCAA